UACGAAGGGGGCUAGCGUUGCUCGGAAUCACUGGGCGUAAAGGGCGCGUAGGCGGCCAGCACAAGUCAGUUGUGAAAUCUCCGAGCUUAACUCGGAAAGGUCAACUGAUACUGUGCGGCUAGAGUGCGGAAGGGGCAACUGGAAUUCUUGGUGUAGCGGUGAAAUGCGUAGAUAUCAAGAGGAACACCUGCGGCGAAGGCGGGUUGCUGGGCCGACACUGACGCUGAUGCGCGAAAAGCUAGGGGGAGCGAAACGGGG
rnacentral:rRNA from 1 species